rnacentral:tRNA from 2 species
GCCCGGGUGGCGGAAUUGGUAGACGCACAAGCUUCAGGAGCUUGCGAGAGCAAUCUCAUGGGAGUUCAAUUCUCCCCUCGGGCA